rnacentral:rRNA from 1 species
GAUGAACGCUGGCGGCGUGCCUAAUACAUGCCAGUCGAGCGAACAGACGAGGAGCUUGCUCCUCUGAUGUUAGCGGCGGACGGGUGAGUAACACGUGGAUAACCUACCUAUAAGACUGGGAUAACUUCGGGAAACCGGAGCUAAUACCGGAUAACAUGUUGAACCGCAUGGUUCAACAGUGAAAGACAGUCUUGCUGUCACUUAUAGAUGGAUCCGCGCCGCAUUAGCUAGUUGGUAAGGUAACGGCUUACCAAGGCAACGAUGCGUAGCCGACCUGAGAGGGUGAUCGGCCACACUGGAACUGAGACACGGUCCAGACUCCUACGGGAGGCAGCAGUAGGGAAUCUUCCGCAAUGGGCGAAAGCCUGACGGAGCAACGCCGCGUGAGUGAAGAAGGUCUUCGGAUCGUAAAACUCUGUUAUUAGGGAAGAACAAAUGUGUAAGUAACUAUGCACGUCUUGACGGUACCUAAUCAGAAAGCCACGGCUAACUACGUG